rnacentral:lncRNA from 1 species
GUCGGUCCACUAACUUCGUUCGCGAGCUGUCAACUCGACUUGCUCAUAACUCGCCUAGCAACGCGCAACGUUCAGUCGCUGCCGCGCAACGGAAGUGGGCAAUCCACAAGCCUAAGCCUACAUCCCAUAGUUGAAAAAUGCCACUUGUAUUUCUUAUGUAACCUUACUCACUUGAUAUUCCACCGAACACUGCUAUCUUAUUCCGAAAAUAGUGUCCCAUCUUUUUGACCUAUAGCUACAGUAACUAGUCGCCUUCAUGCAUCACUCCUAUAGAACACGAGUGGACAGGCACUAAAUAAAGAGAUUCAUUCAUCUCUGUGUGAAAGUCCGUAUGUGUCUAUUGAUCUAUUCUAGGGUUUGUUUUCAUGAAUAGCCCUAUAUGUUUAUAGUCUGCCUUUUGAUGAAUAACUCAACAGUAUAGAUGUCUCCGCUCUUACAGGCAUAGGAAAGACAAAGGUGAUUCUACAUAACCAUAAAAUAGGAUAAGACGAAUAGCGGAGAAGGCUUCUUUGUAUCUUUGUAUGCUAUACUAUAGGGACCAUCAUCUUUGUAUCUUUGUAUGCUAUACUAUAGGGACCAUCAUAUAGAAGUAAAGUACUAGUAGCAUAUCCCCUUCGUUUUCUCUUUUGAUAACCUAUGUAUGAGUGGUAAGACAGAGUGCGAUAGAAAGAGGCAAUGCAAACUACAAGAAUUCCUUCCUUCUUUUGGAAAUUCUUAGAAAAAUGUGCUUUGUUCAAUUCUUAGAAUAAUGGGUCUUGUGUUACACGCUUUCAAGCCAUCAGAUAGGCUUCAACUAAUUACACGGAUUGGAAACUAUAUCAAUAGUCGCUCGGCAUCGGGAAUCCAUGAGUUUUGAAACACCCGAAGGUAGUCGCCCAAGCCUAAGAGAGAUAUGGCAUUCAUUCUUUUAGCAAAAGUCAGUUCCAGCGAGCCAGCUUUGCGCCGCGUAGAUAUCCAUCAUCUGGACGAGCAGCCACCGUUUCGGAUCCAAAAGUCAAGAGGGCGCCGCCCG